rnacentral:rRNA from 1 species
GACGUAGGGCGCGAGCGUUGUCCGGAUUUAUUGGGCGUAAAGAGCUCGUAGGCGGCUUGUCGCGUCGUUCGUGAAAACCUGCAGCUUAACUGUGGGCUUGCGGUCGAUACGGGCAUCACUGGAGUUCGGCAGGGGAGACUGGAAUUCCUGGUGUAGCGGUGAAAUGCGCAGAUAUCGGGAAGAACACCCGUGGCGAAGGCGGCUCUCUGGAACGCAACUGACGCUGAGACGCGAAAGCGUGGGGAGCAAACAGG